AUUGAACGCUGGCGGCAGGCCUAACACAUGCAAGUCGAGCGGAUGAAGGGAGCUUGCUCCUGGAUUCAGCGGCGGACGGGUAAGUAAUGCCUAGGAAUCUGCCUGGUAGUGGGGGAUAACGUCCGGAAACGGGCGCUAAUACCGCAUACGUCCUGAGGGAGAAAGUGGGGGAUCUUCGGACCUCACGCUAUCAGAUGAGCCUAGGUCGGAUUGGCUAGUUGGUGGGGUAAAGGCCUACCAAGGCGACGAUCCGUAACUGGUCUGAGAGGAUGAUCAGUCACACUGGAACUGAGACACGGUCCAGACUCCUACGGGAGGCAGCAGUGGGGAAUAUUGGACAAUGGGCGAAAGCCUGAUCCAGCCAUGCCGCGUGUGUGAAGAAGGUCUUCGGAUUGUAAAGCACUUUAAGUUGGGAGGAAGGGCAGUAAGUUAAUACCUUGCUGUUUUGACGUUACCAACAGAAUAAGCACCGGCUAACUUCGUG
rnacentral:rRNA from 1 species